UAUAUUUUGAUCAUUUAGUAC
rnacentral:piRNA from 1 species